GACGAACGCUGGAGGCGUGCUUAACACAUGCAAGUCGAACGAUGAAGGAGAGCUUGCUCUCCGGAUUAGUGGCGAACGGGUGAGUAACACGUGACUAACCUGCCCCUUUCUCUGGGAUAACGCUCCGAAAGGAGUGCUAAUACCGGAUACGAACUCUGAACACAUGUUCGGAGUUGGAAAGUUUUUCGGAAAGGGAUGGAGUCGCGGCCUAUCAGCUUGUUGGUGAGGUAAUGGCUAACCAAGGCGACGACGGGUAGCCGGCCUGAGAGGGAGACCGACCACACUGGGACUGAGACACGGCCCAGACUCCUACGGGAGGCAGCAGGGGGGAAUAUUGCACAAUGGGCGAAAGCCUGAUGCAGCGACGCCGCGUGAGGGAUGACGGUCUUCGGAUUGUAGACCUCUUUCAGUAGGGACGAAGCGAAAGUGACGGUACCUAAAGAAGAAGCACCGGCUAACUACGUGCCAGCAGCCGCCGUAA
rnacentral:rRNA from 1 species